UACGUAGGUGGCAAGCGUUGUCCGGAAUUAUUGGGCGUAAAGCGCGCGCAGGUGGUUUCUUAAGUCUGAUGUGAAAGCCCACGGCUCAACCGUGGAGGGUCAUUGGAAACUGGGGAACUUGAGUGCAGGAGAGAAGAGUGGAAUUCCACGUGUAGCGGUGAAAUGCGUAGAGAUGUGGAGGAACACCAGUGGCGAAGGCGACUCUUUGGCCUGUAACUGACACUGAGGCGCGAAAGCGUGGGUAGCAAACAGG
rnacentral:rRNA from 1 species